CAGAACAUCACUAACCCAGCAGUGCGUGAGUGAGCUCCCUGCUUUAGGCAUGGGAAUGCAGCAAGGACUCCGCUCAAGAAGUAGGUCUUCAGCAACCACCUCACCCACCACCUACUGUUCCCAGGAGACAGGACAUGGAUAUCAACCAGGCAGAAACACGGUAUCUCUGACUCAUACAGUGGACUUCCACACCUGCCUCUACUGCUAGGCAUACAGAGGUCUGUCCUUCAGAAGGACAUAGACCCUUUCCAAAGUCACACAGUGCUCCAAGGGUACAGUUCUUGCUUUGGCUAGUGUUAUAUUUGGGUCCCUGCAGUAGAUGUGUAAGUAGAAAAGAGGAUACAGGUGUGUUCUUUUUCAUAGACAAGAAACCUGGCUGUGGCUACUGUAUACCUGAUUAUGGAUUGCCCACGAGGCGAUAUCACACACCCUUGAUCUCACUGCUCUAACAUCUUAGUAUCUGAUUUCCUUUCUAAAAGUUUAAAGAAGCAGAAUCGGUACCUCAUGGAUAGAACAUGAAGUUCUUUACAUCAAAAUUAAUUGGUUUUGAAAAAAAUUUUUCAUUAAUUAUAAAAUAAGUUCAUAUAAACUAGAUCCUGUACAUUGAGCUCUAGUGUUUUAAGUUGAUCAAGUACUUGAAAUGUUUAAUUACGUUCCUCUGAAAAACACUUUAUCCACAAACAUCCUAUGUUGGUAUAUUUCUGACUUUGAUGUUUAUGAAGCACCACAGCAAAAUGGUUCGUGUGUGUGAGCACGUUCUCCAAGAUAAAAUGUCUGAGUCAGGGUAGCAGAGUCACAAUGGAGGUGUCAAAUUAGCAAGACCAAAUCAUCUAUCUGCUCACAUUUUUCCUAUUUUUUUUUCCAAAUUUUUAUUUCAGUUCUCACUAGGUAACAUACAGAGCAAUAUUGGCUUCGGGAUUAGAAUUCAAUGAUUCUUCAAUUACAGACAAUAACCAAGACUCAUCCUAACAGGUGCCCUCCUCAAUGCCCAUCACUCAUAGCCCAUCCCCCACCCACCCAGAAAAAGAAAUCAAGGAACUGACCCCAUUGCAUGAAUGAUACUUUGUAUGAUACUUUGAAAUCAACCUCACAAAAGAGGUAUAAGAUUUGUACCCUGAAAACUUAUGAAGGAAAUGGAAGAAGACACAAAUAAAUGGGAAAACAUUCAUGCGCAUGGUUUGGAAGUAUAAACAUGGUUACAAUGUCUAUACCACCCAGGGCAAUCUACACAUUUACUGAGAUCACGAUCAAAACAUCACCAGCAUCUUUCAUGGAACAAAGGAUCCUAACAUUUGUAUGGAAGGACAGAAGACCCCAAGUAAGCAAAGCAAACCUGAAAAAGAAAAGCAAAGCUGGAGGAAUCCUUUUGAGCUUGCCUCACUUCCGGUGGAAAGAGAAACUAGGUCAUGGGUCACAACCAGGAGGAAUUGGUCUGUCAGCCACACAGCCAACAUCCGGGAUUUGUGAUGAACUACCACUCUCGUCCUGUGCUAUGGGAGAGGAAGAAUCAGUUACUUCAUCCCAAAGAAUGACCCGCCGAUCCAGGAGCACCUGCUGCUUGACUGGCCCUGGUACCCUCUGUGGCGGGGAGCCAGCGUGCCUCCCUGCCCUGGCUGAUUGAAAUGUCUUCAUCUUCUAAGGCAGAUGGGUCAGGCAUGCACAAUAUCCUGCAGGACAAUUCAGCCCGAAAAAGCCCUUACAAGGAACACUGCCCCCUGACUUGGUUACAAUACCUAACGCACCAAUGGGACCACUAAUCUGCUACCACCAAAUCACUGUACUUUCUCUGCCCUGCGGGGUAGGACAUACAAAGGAGCCAAGGUCCGGAGCCUUGCUUCUCUUUCUGAAAGAAAAGUGCAGGCCUCAUGCUGACUGAGCACCCAGGUUUAGGCAAUGGAAGUUUCCCUUUGUCCCUGUGCACAGGCAUUUCUCACUCUAGACAACCGUCAGCCUCUCAGGAGAUUGUGCUAGGCCGGUCUUUCUCAACUUCCUCCUGCUUUUCUGUGUAAUGAAACACUUUGGCCCUCUGUUAAUUCCCAUCCA